GACGUAGGGCGCGAGCGUUGUCCGGAUUUAUUGGGCGUAAAGAGCUCGUAGGCGGUUUGUCGCGUCUGCUGUGAAAACCUAAGGCUCAACCUUGGGCUUGCAGUGGGUACGGGCAGACUAGAGUGCGGUAGGGGUGACUGGAAUUCCUGGUGUAGCGGUGGAAUGCGCAGAUAUCAGGAGGAACACCGGUGGCGAAGGCGGGUCUCUGGGCCGAUACUGACGCUGGAGGAGCGAAAGCAUGGGUAGCGAACAGG
rnacentral:rRNA from 1 species